UGCGUAGGUGGCGGGGUAAGUUUGAUGUGAAAUCUCCGGGCUCAACCCGGAAAAGGCAUUGAAUACUAUUCCGCUUGGAGGGUUGGAGGGGGGACUGGAAUUCUCGGUGUAGCAGUGAAAUGCGUAGAUAUCGAGAGGAACACCAGUGGCGAAGGCGAGUCCCUGGACAACACCUGACACUGAGGCACGAAAGCUAGGGGAGCAAACA
rnacentral:rRNA from 1 species